ACAAGUACCGUGAGGGAAAGUUGCAAAGCACUUUGAAGAGAGAGUUAAAGAGGACGUGAAACCGGUGAGGUGGAAACGGAUAGAGUCGGCGUAUCUUGCAAGUAUUCAUUUACAUUUAUUUGUAUUUUUGACCUCUGAGCUCCAGAUUGGGACAGAGUGAAACUACAUAAUUUUUUGUGAUGCAUUUACUUGCUUGGUGCUUGGGGAUUUUUGAGGCAGAUUUGUGCCCUACGUUUUGAGGCCAGCUUGCUGGUACCCGAAUGUGGUUAGCAUUUUUUGUUUUGGUUGUUUAAAUAUUAUGGCUUAGUGACUUUAGGUGGAAUGAUUUGGUUGUUAGUUGCCGCCGCAUGCGACACGUGCUUUUCUAUCUUUGCCGUCUGUGUGCUGUUCUCCUCCUUCCCCCCGUUGUAACAGGUCGUCUUCCCUACCACCCUUCUAGAAACACGGACCGAGGAUUUCAUCGUGUGCGCUUUUUGGGGGGUGUUUAAAACCUAAAGCGGAAAUGAAAAAAGAUGACUCUUCGAGUCUGAUGUGUGACCUUUUCUUUUUGAAAAAUGCAGCAUGGCCCCAGUCUAACUGCUAACUGUAGGGUGGAGGAAGAAGGAAGGCGGUGAGACGUGAGACAUGGUGAAAUAUUCCUGAUCCUGACGAAGCCAGAGGAAACUCUGGUGGAAGUCCGGAGCGGUUCUGACGUGCUGAUCUAUCGUCUGACUUCUGUAUAUGGGCGAAAGACUAAUCGAACCAUCUAACAUCUGGUUCCUUC
rnacentral:rRNA from 1 species